UCCUACGGGGGGCAGCAGUGGGGGAUAUUGCACAAUGGGGGGAACCCUGAUGCAGCGACGCCGCGUGGGUGAAGAAGCGCCUCGGCGCGUAAAGCCCUGUCAGCAGGGAAGAAAAUGACGGUACCUGAAGAAGAAGCCCCGGCUAACUACGUGCCAGCAGCCACGGUAAUACGUAGGGGGCAAGCGUUAUUCGGAUUUACUGGGUGUAAAGGGGGCGCAGACGGCGAUGCAAGCCAGGAGUGAAAGCCCAAGGCUCAACCAUGGGACUGCUUUUGAAACUGUCAAACUAGAGUACGG
rnacentral:rRNA from 1 species